AUUUGGGCUCUGCGAGCAGGCAGUCAGCCUUCCUGACUCUGCUCUUGGCAUUUGAAUCUUAGCUUAAUGCUGCUGCUUCAGGAUCGGAGGCCCCCAGCCCUGCUCCCCAGUUUUUGCACAUACUGUUCUCUCUGCUUGGAACGCAUUUCUGGAAGAAACCACUGGAUCUGCUUGACUCAACUUUCAAAGCACUUUUGCAGGCUUUUAGUACACCGAUGAUCGUUUCAUUUUAUGUAGCACAUGGAUUGUAGACCACAUGGAUGGUAAAAGACUGUUUACUGGCCUGCAUCCCUCUUGACCACAAACUACUGGUGAAGAGGGACCUUGGUUUAUUUAUUUCAGGAUCCCCCACACCUAAUAAGAUCCCCGAGUGUCCCAGCCGCUGUCACACAUUCUUCCUGGACGCUCCACAUACGUGUGGGUUAUAUUUGGAUAUGGGGAAAGAGCCUUCCUGGUGGUGUCACACGGCUCCCUCAAUGAUGUACUACAGAGGAACCAUCUGGUGAAGAAGACCUUGCAUGCCUUGUGUGAGAUCCGCGUUGAGACACGUGUGGUCAUGAGCCAAGCAAAACCACCAAGCUGAUCACUGAGCCGUGGUGGGAAAGAUGGGAAUGACCCUUACGGCAGUAUGGUGACCUCAGACCUCCCCUUUGCUUGGAAUUUUUUGUUUGGUUUGGUCUGGGUUUUGGUUUGGUGUUCGUACCAACACAAAUCCAAAGGACUGACAACCUUCUUCAAAUAUAUCCAUGAAAACCAGCACUGCAGUCCAAAGGUCGAUCUCAAUUCCAGCUUUCCGAAGCUUCAGAGGGCUAAAGUAUGCAGUGUUUAUUUUCUUUCCAGAUCUGGAAGCAGUUCUAGCCAGCUUGGGCAAAAAGGAGAAAACCAAAAACGAGGCUGAAUAAUUGCAUGGAAAGGGCAGGACACAGCCAAGCCCAGCACGGCAGAGCCAUGAGUGUGGCCAGCUUCUCGCUCCUCUUCUUGUUCCUACUCUUUUUCUCCAUACCUCGACUCAGUUCUCUUUCGUUGCAGACCUGCUUCCUCCAGAGCUGGUAAAGGGGGAGGCUGACAACCCUGGUGAACAGCGUCAUAGCUUCUGCAUUGGAGAUAGAGUGACCCUUUUCCUGGUUCCAGGAUGGAAAGUGCUGGAAAGGUCUUUGAUUAUCCCAGCUUGCAUGUCAGGGAUUGCCCCCACCCCACUCCGACAAAUCAACUGGGAGAUAAGGUUCAUGGAAGAACAUGGAGGCUCCUAAGGUAGAUGUGUGGGUGGGAAAGGGCAAACCAUUCAUUCAUCCAGCCAGCCAGCCAUCCAUCCAGCCAUCCAACCAUCCAUCCAUCCAACAGAGUUUUGUUGAGCAAAACUUCGAGACUGACUGAGGGGUCAGAGUCUGCACUGACUGGGGAGAGGUGACCUAGAGGUUGGGAGAUGAAGGUGAAGAAAAAAGGCAACGGGCACUUCACGCUCAGCAAAGUCCCAGAUGUAAGAAGAAAUGAGAUGCUUGUGCCAGAACGUAGGUAGAAGUUAGUGCGGGUGAAUGGUAUGAGCCUCAAAGGAAUGAGAACUUUUCCAAAUGUGGUGCCUUGAAGAUCUGGAAGCGCAUCAGUGAGAGAGGAAGAGAUCACAAAUAACCAGAGAGGCAGGCAGAGAGAGAGGAGGAAGCACGCA